rnacentral:rRNA from 1 species
UAGCUAGUUGGUGGGGUAAGGGCCUACCAAGGCGACGAUCGGUAGCUGGCCUGAGAGGAUGGCCAGCCACACUGGAACUGAGACACGGUCCAGACUCCUACGGGAGGCAGCAGUGGGGAAUAUUGGACAAUGGGGGCAACCCUGAUCCAGCAAUGCCGCGUGUGUGAAGAAGGCCUGAGGGUUGUAAAGCACUUUCAGUGGGGAGGAGGGUUGAUAGGUUAAGAGCUAAUUAACUGGACGUUACCCACAGAAGAAGCACCGGCUAACUCCGUGCCAGCAGCCGCGGUAAUACGGAGGGUGCGAGCGUUAAUCGGAAUUACUGGGCGUAAAGGGUGCGUAGGUGGUUGAUUAAGUUAUCUGUGAAAUUCCUGGGCUUAACCUGGGACGGUCAGAUAAUACUGGUUGACUCGAGUAUGGGAGAGGGUAGUGGAAUUUCCGGUGUAGCGGUGAAAUGCGUAGAGAUCGGAAGGAACACCAGUGGCGAAGGCGGCUACCUGGCCUAAUACUGACACUGAGGCACGAAAGCGUGGGGAGCAAACAGGAUUAGAUACCCUGGUAGUCCACGCUGUAAACGAUGUCAACUAGCUGUUGGUUAUAUGAAAAUAAUUAGUGGCGC